rnacentral:snRNA from 1 species
UGCGAUGGUCCCUGCGGAU